AUUGAACGCUGGCGGCAGGCCUAACACAUGCAAGUCGAGCGGAUGAAGGGAGCUUGCUCCUGGAUUCAGCGGCGGACGGGUGAGUAAUGCCUAGGAAUCUGCCUGGUAGUGGGGGAUAACGUCCGGAAACGGGCGCUAAUACCGCAUACGUCCUGAGGGAGAAAGUGGGGGAUCUUCGGACCUCACGCUAUCAGAUGAGCCUAGGUCGGAUUAGCUAGUUGGUGGGGUAAAGGCCUACCAAGGCGACGAUCCGUAACUGGUCUGAGAGGAUGAUCAGUCACACUGGAACUGAGACACGGUCCAGACUCCUACGGGAGGCAGCAGUGGGGAAUAUUGGACAAUGGGCGAAAGCCUGAUCCAGCCACGCCGCGUGUGUGAAGAAGGUCUUCGGAUUGUAAAGCACUUUAAGUUGGGAGGGAGGGCAGUAAGUUAAUACCUUGCUGUUUUGACGUUACCAACAGAAUAAGCACCGGCUAACUUCGUG
rnacentral:rRNA from 1 species